rnacentral:rRNA from 1 species
GAUGAACGCUGGCGGCGUGCCUAAUACAUGCAAGUCGAGCGAACGGACGAGAAGCUUGCUUCUCUGAUGUUAGCGGCGGACGGGUGAGUAACACGUGGAUAACCUACCUAUAAGACUGGGAUAACUUCGGGAAACCGGAGCUAAUACCGGAUGAUAUUUUGAACCGCAUGGUUCAAAAGUGAAAGACGGUCUUGCUGUCACUUAUAGAUGGAUCCGCGCUGCAUUGGCUAGUUGGUAAGGUAACGGCUUACCAAGGCAACGAUGCAUAGCCGACCUGAGAGGGUGAUCGGCCACACUGGAACUGAGACACGGUCCAGACUCCUACGAGAGGCAGCAGUAGGGAAUCUUCCGCAAUGGGCGAAAGCCUGACGGAGCAACGCCGCGUGAGUGAUGAAGGUCUUCGGAUCGUAAAACUCUGUUAUUAGGGAAGAACAUAUGUGUAAGUAACUGUGCACAUCUUGACGGUACCUAAUCAGAAAGCCACGGCUAACUACGUG